rnacentral:rRNA from 1 species
GUCUCUUCUGAGAUACUCGAGUGGCGAACGGGUGAUAACCGUGGGUGAUCUGCCCUGCACUUCGGGAUAAGCCUGGGAAACUGGGUCUAAUACCGGAAGGACCCCGGGUUGCAUGUCUUGUGGUGGAAAGCCCUUUAUCGGUGUGGGAUGAGCCCGCGGCCUAUCAACUUGUUGGUGGGGGGACGGCCUACCAAGGCCACAACGGGUACCCGGCCUUUUAGGGUGUCCGGGCACACUGGGACUGAAAUACGGCCCAAACUCCUACGGGAGGUUACUUGGGGAAUUUUGCACAAUGGGCGCAAGCCUGAUGCAGCGACGCCGCGUGGGGGAUGACGGCCUUCGGGUUGUAAACCUCUUUCACCAUCGAUGAAGGUCCUGGUUCUCUCGGAUUGACGGUAGGUGGAGAAGAAGCACCGGCCAACUACGUGCCAGCAGCCGCGGUAAUACGUAGGGUGCGAGCGUUGUCCGGAAUUACUGGGCGUAAAGAGCUCGUAGGUGGUUUGUCGCGUUAGUUCGUGAAAUCUCACGGCUUAACUGUGAGCGCGUGCGGGCGAUACGGGCAGACUAGAGUACUGCAGGGGACACUGGAAUUUCUGUUGUGGCGUUGGAAUGCCCCAGAUAUCAGGAGGAACACCGGUGGCGCAGGCGGGUCUCUGUGCAGUAGCUGACGCUGAGGAGCGAAAGCGUUGGGAGCUAACAAGAUUUAGAUACCCUGGUAGUCCACGCCGUAAACGGUGGGUACUAGGUGUGGGUUUCCUUCUCUUGGGAUCCGUGCCGUAGCUAACGCAUUAAGUACCCCGCCUGGGGAGUACGGCCGCAAGGCUAAAACUCAAAGGAAUUGACGGGGGCCCGCACAAGCGGCGGUGUUAGCAUGUGGAUUAAUUCGAUGCAACGCGAAGAACCUUACCUGGGUUUGACAUGCACAGGACGCGUCUAGAGAUAGGCGUUCCCUUGUGGCCUGUGGUGUUGCAGGUGGUGCAUGGCUGUCGUCAGCUCGUGUCGUGAGAUGUUGGGUUAAGUCCCGCAACGAGCGCAACCCUUGUCUCAUGUUGCCAGCACGUAAUGGUGGGGACUCGUGAGAGACUGCCGGGGUCAACUCGGAGGAAGGUGGGGAUGACGUCAAGUCAUCAUGCCCCU